rnacentral:lncRNA from 1 species
GAAAAGAACCAAACGCUGUGAUAGGUGGUGAUCCACACUGACUUCAGAAUCAGACCAAUCACAGGAAUGGUCAGACCCAAGUCAAACCAGAACACAAAUUCUCAAGCUAAAACAAACUCAGCCUGUAUAUUUGCUCCAGCGGAUUUUGCUACACAGGACACAAAUCCAGAUACAGGAAAAUGCAGAGUUUCGAUAUUGUGUGGGACGAUGACUAUUUUCUAAGCAUCUGGGAUUGAUCCAUUGCGUCUGCACUGAAUAUCACUCAUCAAGAUGGAGAGAAAAAAUGCAUACACAUGAAGGCGAAGAACCCGUUGUUUCGAUGUGGAAAAACACUUAAAAGUGACAAAAGUAGGAUCCAAUAUCUGUGUUAUGUUAUCAUAAACAUAACAAUGGAGAACAUCUAUGGAUGUCAUGACCUGAUAUCUGAUCCUACAGGGCAUAACCAAGAUGCACCUCACAUCAAGGAGACACACCAUGAAAGUUGAACAACAUUACAGAAGAUUCCACUGGUGGGGAUCUUAGAUGUCUCAGCAAUGUGAAAUUGCUAUCAAGAUUUCUUUAAUGGCUUCAACUUUUGACUUGUUGCAGAAUGAUCACAACUUCUUCAUGAAUGGGCUCUAUAGACCAGUUAUAGACCACGCUUUGUUCAGUCUGUUCUAGGAAGUGCGGGAACAGAAGAGUUAAUGUUUCUAAGCAAAAAUAAAAAUAAAAAUAAAAACACC